CUUUGGGAUAACCCUCGGAAACGGGGGCUAAUACCGGAUAUGACCUUCUGCCGCAUGGUGGGGGGUGGAAAGUUUUUCGGCGUGGGAUGGGCUCGCGGCCUAUCAGCUUGUUGGUGGGGUGAUGGCCUACCAAGGCGGUGACGGGUAGCCGGCCUGAGAGGGCGACCGGCCACACUGGGACUGAGACACGGCCCAGACUCCUACGGGAGGCAGCAGUGGGGAAUAUUGCACAAUGGGCGGAAGCCUGAUGCAGCGACGCCGCGUGAGGGAUGACGGCCUUCGGGUUGUAAACCUCUUUCAGUAGUGACGAAGCGGAAGUGACGGUACCUACAGAAGAAGCGCCGGCCAACUACGUGCCAGCAGCCGCGGUAAGACGUAGGGCGCGAGCGUUGUCCGGAUUUAUUGGGCGUAAAGAGCUCGUAGGCGGCUUGUCGCGUCGACUGUGAAAACCCACGGCUUAACUGUGGGCUUGCAGUCGAUACGGGCAGGCUAGAGUUCGGUAGGGGAGACUGGAAUUCCUGGUGUAGCGGUGAAAUGCGCAGAUAUCAGGAGGAACACCGGUGGCGAAGGCGGGUCUCUGGGCCGAUACUGACGCUGAGGAGCGAAAGCGUGGGGAGCGAACAGGAUUAGAUACCCUGGUAGUCCACGCUGUAAACGUUGGGCGC
rnacentral:rRNA from 1 species